GACCCCAUCGUCUAGUGGUCUAGGACGUCGGAUUCUCAUUCCGAAAAUCGCGGGUUCGACUCCCGCUGGGGUCACCC
rnacentral:tRNA from 4 species